rnacentral:lncRNA from 1 species
UGUAUUGUAGUUCCUGAGAAAAAUGUGAUGAAAAUUUUCAACUUGGCUAUCAUGUGUAAAAUCAUACAAGUGUUCGGUAAACAGGAAGUUGUCAAGUGAUCAAUCUGAAAACGCAUCACACGGUAUAGCUGACUUAGAUAAACCCUGAAACCAAAUUUCAGAAAUCCUUGUAAUGUAGUUCCUGAGAAAAAUGUGACGAAAAUUUUCAACUUGGCUAUCAUGUGUAAAAUCAUACAAGUGUUCGGUAAACAGGAAGUUGUCAAGUGAUCAAUCUGAAAACACAUCACACGGUAUAGCUGACUUAGAUAAACCCUGAAACCAAAUUUCAGAAAUCCUUGUAUUGUAGUUCCUGAGAAAAAUGUGACGAAAGUUUCAUGGGACGGAC